GAUCGAUCGGCCUCCCCGUGUAGUCUUUCUUGAUUCCCUCACAUUAGACCUUGAAAAAAAAACUACGGAGUACUACAGUUAGGAAGCAUGGAUAGAUGUGGACCUAACAUGAGGAAAUGUUACUAUUAGCAUAUUAUUGUAAGCUGACUGGUAGCUUGUUGUGACGGCAGCAAAAGAAAAAUCUUCUGUUACCAAAUAAUUUUUUUGCCAGACUACGAGUGAAAGCUAGCUCGUAUAUACUGUAUACAACACAAUCCAAAGAUGAUGGCUAUUAACCUGAUUUCGAACCGGAUUUCUAGGGCAUGUCUUAUGCUCUCUCUUUUUUUGCGAGGAACUCUUAUGCUUUUCUUGGGUGGAGUACAACAUUUUUCUGAAACAUUUGGUCGACUUAAUUAGCACGUACGUGUCGAACUAGGAAGACACAAAUGCCAAAAGAAUUAAAAGGGAUCGAGAGAAGUAGGGAAAGAUUUAGCAAGUAAACUAACGAUUAGCUAGUAGCAAAACCCAUAAAAAACCAGUUCAUAAAGGCAUUAGGGAUGAGGUUAGUUGAGGGUUAGGAAUUGUUUUACAGGAUUAACGAUCCACCAAAAUCUUGGGUUAGGUAAGCUAACCAAACUAAUUAACCUUGACCAAAGUCAUUUAUCUUCUCCCCAACAAAAAAGAAGUCAUUUCUCUUCGUCACCUAGAACUAAACUACUGUGAAUGAAUAAAGCGAUCAAGCUAACAUACAGCACAUAAAAUCUUUCAAAAUCUAUUUAGACGUAUUAACCCCGGUUAACUCUUCUAAUUAAUAGCCCAACAUACAAGCCACUUGCUCCAUUAAUCCCAGUGAAUAAAGUGAAUAAGCUGGCACCGUGCAUAUAACAAGCCACCCGCAAAAAAAAAACUAAAAAAAUAAUUUAAAAAAGCCACGUGCUCCAUUCUAUCCCACAGUCGCAUGGCGCCGGUAUGACGAGCUGAUAUGAGGUCCAGCCAGCCGGCCCUAAUUACAGGCCGGUUCCGUGCUCCGCAUUCCAACUCGUGGUCGACCUAGCUAGCUAGACUUUUUAACCAACGGUGCAUAGUAAAAAUCACGACGGUGCGGUAUAAACACGAUCGACGUCGCGCUCAAUCUCGCGCCCGGGCGGGGCAGGCAGCAGGUGCCAUCACUAGCUAGCUAGGCCGCUCCUAUUCGGGUUAGAGAGGAGAUCGAGGUUACUUCGCUGUAAUAGAAUCUGUCCGCCUGGUGUGUGUGGCCGGAACCGAAGGCGAAAUGCCCCACGCGUGAGUUCCGAAUGACUCGUGCCAUGAGUAGCAGUAGGAGCAGUAAUGAGCUAGCGCUGUCCUGUGCGCGCAUGGACGACGCAGAGUCAAAGCGCUGAAAGGCACAGUACACCGCUAGUCCGCUAGUCGAAAACGUGAAAAACGAAAAGGAAACGGGAGCUAGCUAGCUAGCUAAUCAAGCAUGUACACCCGGCCACUAAACGUACGUUCGUUCUCAAAUCCGAUUCACCCAAUCUCGUGUCCGGGUCCCGUGCUGUUGCUAUACAGAGGCAUGCGAGAUACAGGCUAGUCGCUAUAUCUGAUUCGGUCGACGCGCGCCCUGGGGUCUGGCCACCUGGGGCCGGGGUUGCCAUCUCUGGCGGCGCGGGCGCGGGAAAGCGGAGUGCAACGGCUCGGUCGCCAGCUUUGCCAUCCUCUGUCCCCGGCACGUAGCUGUCCCUGCCCUAUCGAUGCGGGUGACCUCUCCCUCUCGUCUCCCCCAUGCGGCCGUGCCCUCCCGUUCCUCACAGCGCAAAAGCGACAAAAGAGAGGGGGAGGAAUCGGAAAGAUGGAAAGGGAGCCGCGUGAUCGAGAGGCCGCUUUGGCACCACCGGGACGAGUUAAACGGGACGGCCGGGCCGGGGGAUCGGAUGUGACCGUGCUGCUGCGGCCC
rnacentral:lncRNA from 1 species